UAGAUACUCCCUAUAUCCCGUAUGUGCGAUACUUUGAUAAAAUACAAGAUGUAUGGGGUGUCUGC
rnacentral:pre_miRNA from 1 species